UAACACAGAAAUCAUCUGUGGUUGAUUAAUUAAAAAAAAAAACUGCCUCAUUCACGUGAGCCAGCUAUAACUAGGGAGAGUGGUUUUGUUUCUCUUUUUUACAGUGGCUUGACUAGCCUGGCCCUGUUGCUGAUCCUGAAAAAAGGAAGAAUUCCUGUGAGACCCAAUGAGCAUGAAUCUUGGAUAGAAGAGGAAACUGGGAAAAGGCAUACAAGAGGGCCCCAUCCCAUGGGAGGAUGAGUGCAACUCACAGUGAAUGUUUCCCCAAGCUGGCCCUGGAGCGGUAAUGAGGAUGUAUCUUGUUCCAUGUAGAUUCCUAGGGAGUGUAAUGUGGUCUGGGAAUCCUUCAGGAUGUCAAGAGAAGAAUCUGUCUUCUCCAGGAAGAGUUUGGGCCCUUCAAACUGGAAGUCUUCUGCAGCUCUUUGGGCAAUCUAGAAAGGUGAAGCCAAGAAGCCCGUCUCAGUACCACUGUCAUGGAGACCGCGCGGGCAGCUGUCUCAGCUAUAUCCAGUGCUGUCUCUAGCACCAGUCUGGCUAUUAACUGACCCUCUCUAAGAAUGGUCUGAAACUGUUCCUUUUGUGUCUCCAGUAAAUGUUCUAGAAACGCACUGAGUUUCCCAUAAUUAAUAAAAUUGUAUUUGGCCAUGACAGUUUGGUAAUUCGUAACUCUAAAUGGUGAUGUCACUGACAAAUACGCCAUCUUGUCAAGCCCGAUUGUAUGUGGUUGACUUGGCAUUAUGUUGCUUGCUUUCUGCAUUAACCACAUCCACUAUGAUGGAGAUGGGUUGCGGAUGUUGAAACAAAGUCUGCCUCUUUGGGAGUGUCAAAUAUAAAGGGAAGGGUAACAACCUUUAUGUAUGCAGUAACAUAAAAUCCCU